GUGAGUCAUCGAAUCUUUGAACGCACAUUGCGCCUCCCGUAACAAGGAGGCAUGCCUGUCUGAGCGUCAUUUAAACCAAUAAGCCCAAAGGGGUUUGUUUUGGGCCUCGACGCAGUCGUCGUCGCCUUAAAGGCAUCGGUCUAGAGCGGACAAGAUCCAUUAGGACUGACCGUCGCGGACCCCGAUCAUCUGACUUGACCUCAGAUCAGGUAGGACUACCGCCUGAACUUAAGCAUAUCAAUAAGCGGAGGA
rnacentral:misc_RNA from 1 species